AUCAGAUGUCUGUUUCUGUCCCUAUGAUCACACAUUAAAAAAGAUUUCCAAAGCUGCUUUACUGUGUUGUAAUUGGACCGAGGGUGUCUGAGACCCAGAAUGCUUCAUGUGUGCUCUUUACUUAGUAAAAAUUUGGUGAAAUCUUCAACACAUCCUGUAACCACAGCUUCAGACUGUGAUAAAGCCAAUGAUGAAGAUGGCAAUUCGAUGGAUCUGAGAACGCUGUCUGGGCUUCGUGCCAAGGGCUGGUAUUCACACAGCAAGGACGGCCUCACAGACGAGCUGUGGGAGCAGGAGGGAGACUCUGUCUUAGGGUGCCACUACUAUGGAGACACAGCUGGGCUGAACAAGAUUUGCUUCAAACGACAACAAGAGAGACAGAAAGUAUCUCAUUCAACCGCUGCCCAAGCAGGCAGACACCAGAAGAGCUAGCAGCCAAUCCGGCCAUGCUUGAAGCCAGUCCUGCAGCUCAGCCAAUCAGUGACAUCACCGGUGAGAAACUCAUUUACAUCAUGCAGUAAUGAACUUUGUUUAACAUAGCCUUCCCCUUUUCCUGUUACCCGCCCCCCCAUGUUAGGUCCUUCCAUUAAUUAUUCUGUUGGCAUAAUUUAAAACGCUAUGCAAAACUGUGGCUACAUUCCCUCUUCUAGCUCUUACCCACCCUCUAACUGGUCUGCAGUCACAGAAGCGGUUCUGAGUAGAAUUCUAUUUAUUUUGGUCUCACAGAUAAUUAUCUUCUCCUUCUAAAGGAAAAAAGGAAGUCUUAGAACCCCCCUAAACUUUAGUUUAUUUAUUGGAUGGCCCUUCUAAUGAAAUAGAUAUUGUCUCCAAGUUGCAACUUACAGCUGUACAGUAUCUAGGGACUCAGGGUAUGCACCGCCAUGGACGUUGUGAUUUUCCUCCAAGCAAUCUGCAUCUUAGAGGUCCCUUUCAUGUUGUCAGAUAUUAUGUUGCAGUGGCCAUUUUACAUACAGUGCAUUCUCCAAGGAAAAGCUCUAUGUACAUCUGUCCCAUGGAGGAAAGUUCACUCUUGUUAUAUUUCAUUCUUCACUGCUCUCGGCCAAAGUGUCAUUUUAUUAAUGAAUAGAACUGAGGUCAUUUCUGGACAAAUCUCCCCCCUUCCCAUCGAAGCACAAUGAACCUGAUUUGCAUCCAUUUACUAGAAAUACUGAAUACGAGAACCAGCUUGAGAAGUGCACAGCACAGCGUCCAUGUUAUUUCAGACUAUGACACAGCCGCUUGUUUUUCAGGAGGCAUAAUCUGUAACAGCUGCCUUAGUAUUUCCCUGAAAAAUGCCUGAUCUCCAUGUAUAGUGCAAUACCGUUAGUGAAUUUAUGGGGUCAUUUUAUAACCAGAGUUGAGCAAAUGAAAUCGUAGUCAUGAAGGAAUUUAUUUAUCCACAGAAAGCCUUUGGAAGCGCGAUGUUGUCUUG
rnacentral:lncRNA from 1 species